UCUGUCGUGUCUUCUACAUGUCAAGUGAGGGGAAAAAUUUGCUCCAUGAGGUCUUUCCUUCACCUAAUGCAACUGUAUUAGAGCAGUUAAGUAAUGUGGACUGCAUUGUAUAUGCCAUGGGUUCCCUUUUCACUUCAAUCUGUCCCUCGUUGGUCUUAUUGGGAAUUGGGGAGAUUAUUUCGUCAAGGUCUUGCCUCAAGUUUGUAUUUUAGGAAUUUAGGCUUGAUAAGAUUGCUUUCAAUUUGCAAGGAGAGCAUUUGUUUCUCUUUUGGAAGAAACAAGCUAUUAAGGUAGUCCGGCUCUUCUUGAUUGCUGAGCAAUAAGACAAAAAGGGUGAUAAGUUUCUGUGCUUUGAUAUGGAAGUCCAGCCAUAGUGCUAUUAGUGGCGUGAAUUUGUUCCAAUGCAUGAAAUUCUAGCGGCGGUCUUUUGUUUUAUUGAAAUUUUAUAGCAAUAUAUGCAUUCUUUUCCAAAAUUCUACUCAUUUUUAUUUUUAUUUCUUAAAUGUUAGGUACUUAUGUUAAAUGGCACACCUGACCGGGAGACUAAUGGGUUUUCGGCUUCUUGUUUUGUUACUGCCAUCACGGAUGCUCUAAAUCGAACAUAUGGAGAUCCUUGCAAUCGGCUAAAGAAUCCUGUGAGUGGGAAUUCCUUCACAAUUGAAGCUAGUUGGUGCCAAAUAGAUAUCUUUAUUUUGAUUUUGGUUUAAAAUAAGGCUUUGAUUAAUUCACUAAAGAGUGCCAAUAUCAUUUUAUUUGAAUGCAUGCUUUUUACCCUGUUGUAAGUGCCAAGUGGUAUACUGUUAAUAAACCCUUAUCGCUCCAUAUGAUGAUUGCUAUUAUAAAAUGAAUUGUCAUAUUUAGUUUACUCUCCCCUUAUUGUUGAUGCAAUUAUUAUUGAAAUUUCAAAGAAACUUUACAUAAAAAUGUAUGAGUUAGGACUUUCGCUUUGGUACUUACUAACUGCUACUAUAGAUAUAUUUGUUUAGUAUUGGUUUUUAUUAUCACGUGUUCAACAUGAUGCAUGCCUGGAAAAGCUUGAGAAAAAUAUUUUUUCUUGGGUGUUUUGCUUCUUUUGAAGCAAAAUGAUGUUAUUUGAUGUGUGUGGAAUCUUACUUCAAAUAAAAAUUCAGAUACUUUGAAAAUUGAUAACUAAAAUUCACAAUACAAUAUGCAUAAUGUGAUGACAAGAUUUUUUCUACCAUUAAUAAUUUUAUGCAACCGAGUUAGUAUGUCAUUUCCAUUUUGGUGCCAAGAAAUAGUUCAGUUCCAGUUGAUGUUGACCGAUUGAAUGCCCAAGGAAUAUUUGAUGUGAUUGUUGUUGACUCCCUACGUGAUUUCAAAGUGGGUAUAAUAUAUAACCCAAAAUUGUUGAUAAGAGCUCUCGCUGACUUAAUUGACAGAUACAUGAAGUCGAAAGGCAAGGAAUUAAUCGAUGCUAGAUGAUAUAAUAAGAGUCUACAAUUAACAAUUUUUUUCCUCUGAAGGAUUUCUAGGUAAAAUUGCCUAUUUAUAAUCAUAUAUUGGAACAAUUUUUCCUCCCAUCCAAAGUACAGCAGUUCGAUGAAACCUUGAUAUAAUAUUUAUUGCCAUAAGUAUUUGAUUAUGUAGGGAUGAUAUAGUUUAAG